rnacentral:rRNA from 1 species
AUUGAACGCUGGCGGCAGGCCUAACACAUGCAAGUCGGACGGUAGCACAGAGGAGCUUGCUCCUCGGGUGACGAGUGGCGGACGGGUGAGUAAUGUCUGGGGAUCUGCCCGAUAGAGGGGGAUAACCACUGGAAACGGUGGCUAAUACCGCAUAACGUCGCAAGACCAAAGAGGGGGACCUUCGGGCCUCUCACUAUCGGAUGAACCCAGAUGGGAUUAGCUAGUAGGCGGGGUAAUGGCCCACCUAGGCGACGAUCCCUAGCUGGUCCGAGAGGAGGACCAGCCGAGCUGGAACUGAGACACGGGCCAGACUCCUACGGGAGGGAGCAGUGGGGAAUAUUGCACAAUGGGCGCAAGCCUGAUGCGGCCAUGCCGGGUGUAUGAAGAAGGCCUUCGGGUUGUAAAGUACUUUCAGCGGGGAGGAAGGCGGUGAGGUUAAUAACCUUGCCGAUUGACGUUACCCGCAGAAGAAGCACCGGCUAACUCCGUGCCAGCAGCCGCGGUAA